GACGUAGGGCGCGAGCGUUGUCCGGAUUUAUUGGGCGUAAAGAGCUCGUAGGCGGCUUGUCGCGUCGUUCGUGAAAACCCGGGGCUCAACUCCGGGCUUGCGGGCGAUACGGGCAGGCUAGAGUUCGGUAGGGGAGACUGGAAUUCCUGGUGUAGCGGUGAAAUGCGCAGAUAUCAGGAGGAACACCGGUGGCGAAGGCGGGUCUCUGGGCCGACACUGACACUGAGGCACGAAAGCGUGGGGAGCAAACAGG
rnacentral:rRNA from 1 species